rnacentral:ribozyme from 1 species
AUGCGCUGCCAAAAGGAGCAUGGCUUCAGCUGGGGAAUGUGGACUCAGAUGAUAUCAUUCAGACGUGCGUGGAUCAAUGGACUAAUAUCGGGCUGGUGUCAGCUUUGCUUUUGACCAUUCAAUUCGCAGUGAUAUAUGCUCUC